GUGGGUAUAGCUCAGUUGGUUAGAGCGCCAGGUUGUGGCCCUGGAGGUCAAGAGUUCGACUCUCUUUACUCACCCCA
rnacentral:tRNA from 2 species